rnacentral:rRNA from 1 species
GAUGAACGCUGGCGGCGUGCCUAAUACAUGCAAGUCGAGCGAACAGACGAGGAGCUUGCUCCUCUGACGUUAGCGGCGGACGGGUGAGUAACACGUGGAUAACCUACCUAUAAGACUGGGAUAACUUCGGGAAACCGGAGCUAAUACCGGAUAAUAUAUUGAACCGCAUGGUUCAAUAGUGAAAGACGGUUUUGCUGUCACUUCUAGAUGGAUCCGCGCCGCAUUAGCUAGUUGUUAAGGUAACGGCUUACCAAGGCGACGAUGCGUAGCCGACCUGAGAGGGUGAUAGGCCACACUGGAACUGAGACACGGUCCAGACGCCUACGGGAGGCAGCAGUAGGGAAUCUUCCGCAAUGGGCGAAAGCCUGACGGAGCAACGCCGCGUGAGUGAUGAAGGUCUUCGGAUCGUAAAACUCUGUUAUUAGGGAAGAACAAAUGUGUAAGUAACUAUGCACGUCUUGACGGUACCUAAUCAGAAAGCCACGGCUAACUACGUG